rnacentral:tRNA from 1 species
UAGGUUGAAGCCAGUUAUUGGGCGUUUAGCUGUUAACUGAAGUUUCAUAGGUUUAAAUCCUAUCAAUCUAG